rnacentral:rRNA from 1 species
CCUACGGGAGGCAGCAGUAGGGAAUCUUCCACAAUGGGCGAAAGCCUGAUGGAGCAACGCCGCGUGGGUGAAGAAGGUCUUCGGAUCGUAAAACCCUGUUGUUAGAGAAGAAAGUGCGUGAGAGUAACUGUUCACGUUUCGACGGUAUCUAACCAUAAAGUCACGGCUAACUACGUGCCAGCAGCCGCGGUAAUACGUAGGUGGCAAGCUGUAUCCGGAUUUAUGGGGCGGAAAGGGAACGCGGGCGGUCUUUUAAGUCUGAGGUGAAAGCCUUCGGCUUAACCGGAGUAGUGCAUUGGAAACUGUGAGACUAGAGUGCAGAAGAGGAGAGUGGAACUCCAUGAGUAGCGGUGAAAUGCGUAGAUAGAUGGAAGAACACCAGUGGCGAAAGCGGCUCUCUGGUCUGUAACUGACGCUGAGGUUCGAAAGCGUGGGUAGCAAACAGGAUUAGAUACCCCUGUAGUC